UAAUACGUAGGGGGCAAGCGUUGUCCGGAUUUAUUGGGCGUAAAGAGCGUGUAGGCGGCCAGACAGGUCCGUUGUGAAAACUGGAGGCUCAACCUCCAGACGUCGAUGGAAACCGUCUGGCUAGAGUCCGGAAGAGGAGAGUGGAAUUCCUGGUGUAGCGGUGAAAUGCGCAGAUAUCAGGAAGAACACCCGUGGCGAAAGCGGCUCUCUGGGACGGUACUGACGCUGAGACGCGAAAGCGUGGGGAGCGAACAGG
rnacentral:rRNA from 1 species